rnacentral:lncRNA from 1 species
AAUAAAUAAGUUAAAUUAAUUAGAAAUGCAUAUAAGUAUAUUCAAUCAAACAACAGUACCUAUGGGAUUCUCGCAAAAAAAGUACCUAUGGGAGUGACUGCUCUAUUCAUCACUUGUUGAACCAACAGAUCUAUUUCCAUCUCUAGCUUUCACACACACACACACACACACACACACACACACACCAUCUUGUUGUAUAAAUUGGAACUUCAACCAUUAAAGGCACCUCUUGCCCAUCAGAACUUCCUUUGAUGUCCAACCUUUAGUACAAAUACCAGCAGUUAUGCAAUCAAUGAAGGGAACCAUCAUCCUUAAGCAAGAUAUGCAUUCUUUUCUGGAUACUUAGGAACCAGAGGGCAGCUCAAUGGUGUGAUACUAUACAGCAGAGGGGGUCGCAAGAGGCAACAUGAAUUCUAGAAAACAUUAUCAGAAAACACAGAUACAAGAAUUAGAGAUAAAUGGAAAUAAUGGAUCAAAUACAAGACAGAAACGUGGAAGAUCCAAAUAAGAAGAUAUACAAAAUCUAUGGUAUGUAUGAGAGAGAAUCCAAAGUUUCUCACCUCAAGAAUUUGUGGAGACCAAUGGCCAAAGCACCUGCGCGCAUAAGCGGAGGAAGGAAGAUGGGCUGCCUCUACUGCUACAUACCCAUUGUCCCUGACUUGCAGCCCGUCGACAUCUCCGCGUGAGAGCCCCCUCACUCAAAUCACCGGCUAACUGUCGCGCGUUGUCAUUGCCGCCGAGUUGCAGCAGACCGUCAUCUCGGUGUUGCCUCAAGAGAGCCCCCUCAAUCCAAUCAUCCGCGAUCGCCUCAAGGUCAGCUCAGAAUCAACAUAGGGACGAAGCUGCAAUAUUGGCAGUGGUGUGAGCUGACACCAGUCAUCUUUGUAUUUUCUUCACUAAAUUUAUUUAUACUAAUAACUGCUUAAUUGCAUAGAUGACAUUAUUAGUACAUGGCUGACACCAUAGAAAAAAAAUUCUAGCUUCGUCCCUGAUCAACAUGGCGUGCCAUGCCCCUGCAGCUUGGGCUAUGGAUGUGGACGAUGUACUUGUUCAGCCCAAAUCUUAACCAAGGGAAAGCAAUCAACUUGGUCAAAUCAAGCAACGGAGAAUUAAUGGACGGGGAUCUCAGUGUAACCCAUACUGGAUUCGCGGCGGCAGGGCCGAUCUGGCAAGCUCGACGCGCCUUUCAGCGAGAUACCGGCGACGCAGCGGCG